rnacentral:rRNA from 1 species
UGGGGAAUUUUGGACAAUGGGCGAAAGCCUGAUCCAGCAAUGCCGCGUGUGUGAAGAAGGCCUUCGGGUUGUAAAGCACUUUUGUCCGGAAAGAAAUCCUUGGCUCUAAUACAGUCGGGGGAUGACGGUACCGGAAGAAUAAGCACCGGCUAACUACGUGCCAGCAGCCGCGGUAAUACGUAGGGUGCAAGCGUUAAUCGGAAUUACUGGGCGUAAAGCGUGCGCAGGCGGUUUGCUAAGACCGAUGUGAAAUCCCCGGGCUCAACCUGGGAACUGCAUUGGUGACUGGCAGGCUAGAGUAUGGCAGAGGGGGGUAGAAUUCCACGUGUAGCAGUGAAAUGCGUAGAGAUGUGGAGGAAUACCGAUGGCGAAGGCAGCCCCCUGGGCCAAUACUGACGCUCAUGCACGAAAGCGUGGGGAGCAAAACAGGAUUAGAUACCCUGGUAGUCCACGCCCUAAAACGAUGUCAACUAGUUGUUGGGGAUUCAUUUCCUUAGUAACGUAGCUAACGCGUGAAGUUGACCGCCUGGGGAGUACGGUCGCAAGAUUAAAACUCAAAUGAAUUGACGGGGUCAUAGCUGUUUCCU